GGUGUUGUGGCUCAGUGGUAGAGCACUUGCCUAACAUGAGGCACUGAGCUCGAUCCUCAGCACCACAU
rnacentral:tRNA from 1 species